rnacentral:rRNA from 1 species
GAGAGGACCGGGGUGGACGGACCUCUGGUGUGCCGGUUGUUCCGCCAGGAGCAUCGCCGGGUAGCCAAGUCCGGAACGGAUAAGCGCUGAAAGCAUCUAAGCGCGAAGCCGCCUUCAAGAUGAGGCCUCCCAUCCUUCUUCGGAAGGAGUAAGACCGCGGGAAGACCACCCGUUCGAUAGGCCACACGUGGAAGUGCAGCAAUGCAUGCAGCUGAGUGGUACUAAUGGUCGAGGGCUUGACCCU